rnacentral:lncRNA from 1 species
GAACUGAGAACUAAGGAAGUGAAACAUUUGUGGAGGAGUAAUUUGGGAAACAGAGACCAGCACAAAUGAAACUCCCAGAAUGACAGUAAUGCAGCAGGGCUGUGCUGUUAAAACAAUGUUUCACGCAGCCGGACAUGACCCUUCUCCAUUCCCCUUUCCCAAUGUGUAGACUGCAGCCACGGUGUUGAGUCGUCUUGAACUAUGAACUCAAGUCAUCCACAGAGAUUUCAUCAGUGAAGUUAUCUGUGCCUAAAGUUUUCAUUGUGGAAAGAUUUGAAUUCAUUUGAAAAUGAACGAAAAUAAAGGCCUCUGCCAUCAGACUGGUGUUAGUCUGCUUGAUCUGCCUAUUUAUUGUAUUCCAACUUUGUUGUAACUUCACUAGCUUUGGAUGUUGUGCAGAUUUGAAUGUAUUUUGAACCCGUGAAAAACUCCUUUACUUGCUUCCAACUAUUCAUUAACAGCAUUUUAAUCAUCUUUAGGUUUUGUGUUCUGGAACUAAUUGCUAAUAAAGCAUAACUGUGUUAUGUGUAAAUGAGGACGAGAGUUGAUGUUCUUUUGGUUUGGUCAUAACUUUACUUUUUUUAAUAGAAUUUCUUUCAUUAAAGUUAUUAAGAAAUAAAUUUAUGUACUUCUUUUAUCUAACACAAUAGUUUUCUUGGAAAUGG